AGCCCUUCCCCCCAUGGCCCCGCCCACCACUCUAGCCACGCCCCUUCCGGACCAGGUGCCUCCCGGCUGCUGGCUCUAGCCCUUCCUCGCGUGGCCCCGCCCCGCCCUCGCCCCCUGCCCAGGCCCGGCCCCUGCGGAGACCAGAGACGCGCGGACGCAGGUAAGGCGCGCUGGGGGCCGGGCUGCAGCUUCCCGGUGCGGCCACAGUGGGCAGGUGGGCCUGUGCGCGGCGGCCUCGCUGGCUGAGAAUUGGCGGGGCUGGGGCGUGCCUUGGACUGACCCCCACCGGCCUAAUCAGCGGAGCGGGACCAGGCCCGGAACUGCCCGCCUGGCUCCUUGUGGCCGCUGGGGACCCCCGACCCCAGCCACUUUCCCUUGCCAGCCCUUAGCAAGGCUGCUUCUCCGGUUAUUUUUUUAGGCUCGAGGCGUCUGCCGAACCUCAGCCCAGGAUCUGCCCCUUUGGGAGGUGCGGGCCGCGGCCAGGCUCUGACCUCAACCUGGCACAGAGGCUCCGGCCCUCAGGCAAGAUUCUCCGGGGGAGUGGCUCUUGUGUCUUUAGACCUCUGUGCCGAUGACCUGGGAGGAAGGUCAGCUUUCCCUACUGGAGGGGGCCCAGCAAAGCCUCAGCCCCUAGAAGUGAGGGGCCUGCCACUGCCUGCCCAAGGACCCCACUCCUGGGGGCCAGAUGCUGAGAAGGGACACUGGGGCCCAGCAGACCGGAGAGCUAACCCCAGUCCCACAGCCUGGGUGGGUUGUCAAUUUCUGGCACCCCUGCACCCCUGCACCCCUUCCCCUUAGGUAAAUAGGAGGUCGAAACAGAGGCCAGAGGGUAAAGGAGGUAAUUAGAGUCUGGGCUGGCUCAGGCUGGCCGGGCAGCUGUGCUAGUGCUUGGAGUUCCUACUCAGUCCCUGCGGUCUCCUGGCCUCUGUGGGCACUUGGGCUGCCAGGCACCGAGCUGAGCUGGGCUGUCCUGCAGCCCCCCAGCCCACGACCCUCCUGUCUCUGUAGGGACUCCCUGAGGCCUUGAAUCCACCCCGGCCCUGUGCUCAGUGCAUCGUGCCCCCCAAGCCCCAGCCCUCCCAGAGGUGUGGGUGGGGGAGGGGCUGCAACCCACACAGGCCAAGGACACAGCUGCUGCCACUGCCUGAGAC
rnacentral:lncRNA from 1 species